rnacentral:rRNA from 1 species
CGGUCUGGGGCGAUGCCUGAUGGAGCAUGCCGCGUGAGUGAAGAAGGUCUUCGGAUCGUAAAGCUCUGUUGUUAGAGAAGAACAAGAGGUGUAGUAACUGGCACCUCCUUGACGGUAUCUAACCAGAAAGUCACGGCUAACUACGUGCCAGCAGCCGCGGUAAAU